rnacentral:lncRNA from 1 species
CCCCAGUUCAUAACUGAAAAAUAGGCACAACCAAAACUCACUAUUGGUGGCACUGUGCCGCAAGCACCAGGCAGGCUCUCCUCAGGCUGAACAUCAGCUCCUCGCAUCUUUCCAUUUCACACAAGUUCAGUUUCUCCAGAUCUUUCCCCUUUGAGACAGGAAAAUCCUACUCCUUUAAGUCUAACUCUCAGUGGCACUGUACAUGGAACAUAACAAGGUACACAAAGGGCUGGUCACUAAAACAAAGGAGAAAGCCUUGGAGAAACUACAAACUGCUUUGUAUUUUCAUCUUUCCUGUACAAAGAGCCAGUAAAGACUUCAAUAGAUUAUUGCACCAUGAUAAAAACACAUUUAAGAUGCCAGACUCAAGAUUUCCUGCUGCAGCACAUUUCACUCUCCUUCCUAAUAAUGUGUUUCCCUGGUGUUCCUGAAUGGGAUACCUCGAAGAGACUGCUGGCACAGCUGGUUUACAUUUCCUUGGGGCUCUGAACCAGGUAGGAGAUAAAGCAGUUGUCUAACUUUACAACUCAAAUGUGACUGGGAAUAAGUACUAUGGUGCAUUGCAUUUGAAAACAGAUACUGCAGAUUCAGACUGUGAUGAUUACGGGCUUUUGAGAUGUAUUUCUGCCUGGAGUUGAUGCAGAUUCAACAACCUGUAUAUCAAAAGGGAUUGGAGGGGAGGGGAAGAAACCAAACAAAACCUGUAUGUUUGGAAACUUUCCCAACAACUGUAAUAUAUAAAGCAGUUUGCUUCCUAGAAUUGAGAUCUUGGGCUAAAAGUUGAUAACACUACAGUGGUGUUAUUCUUGCUCCAAUGCAAGCCAUUUAUCUUCUGAUAAAUGCCAUCACAAAAGAAAAAAAGGCAAAGCAUGAAUUACAUAAGGGCAAAAAUGAGGUGAGUGCUUGCAUUUUGUCAGAGUUGCGGUUACAUUUCUGUAAAUGAGUUCAAGUUUUUACCCUGAUCCAGUCUUUUUCCUGGUUUACAAGUGUCCAUAUAUAUCCUUAAAAUUGUUCAAAUCUGCUGGCUCAAUUCAACACCAG